rnacentral:lncRNA from 1 species
GAACGAAGUAUAACGGCAUCUUAUCACCAUAUGAUGAUGUCAUCACUCCCUGUUUGCCCACUGAAGCAGAGUCAGUCAAAUAGAAUUUGGUUUGAUUUGGUGGCUCUGUAGUCCCAUCACUGUGACUGAGGGUGGACCGCACCUAGAGACCCUGCCAAC